AACGAACGCUGGCAGCGUGCCUUAAGCAUGCAAGUCGAACGGUGAUAGCACUUCGCUAUCAUAGUGGCGCACGGGUGAGUAACGCGUGGUUAAUUGACCUAUAGACGCGAAUAGCCGUAAGAAAUUACGGGUAAUGCGCGAUAAUCCCUACGGGGGAAACGCAGAAAUGCGCUAAAGGAGAUGACUGCGUCCCAUCAGGUAGUUGGCAGGGUAAGAGCCUACCAAGCCUAUGACGGGUAGCCGGCCUGAGAGGGUGUACGGCCACAUUGGGACUGAGACACGGCCCAGACUCCUACGGGAGGCAGCAGCUAGGAAUUUUCCGCAAGUGGGGGAAACCCUGACGGAGCGACGCCGCGUUGAGGAAGAAGGCCUUCGGGUUAGUAAAACUCUGUCUUCGAGGGAAGAAAAAAAUGACGGUACCUGAGGAGGAAGCCCCGGCUAACUACGUG
rnacentral:rRNA from 1 species